AUGGGAAACCAGGCCCCCUAUUAAAAGCUUUAAAUAGCUUGCUUGGGGUGACCUUUCACGCAUCCGACUGUGUAAUACUGUUUGUUGUAUCAUGUUGUAUGUCUUGGAUAUUGCGUGAAUAAACUCAAACCAUAGAACACUUCAGCCGGAGGCCGCCACGCAACUCUGGGAGG